rnacentral:rRNA from 1 species
UACGAAGGGGGCUAGCGUUGCUCGGAAUUACUGGGCGUAAAGGGCGCGUAGGCGGAUAUUUAAGUCGGGGGGGAAAGCCCGGGGCUCAACCUCGGAAUUGCCUUCGAUACUGGAUAUCUUGAGUUCGGGAGAGGUGAGUGGAAUGCCGAGUGUAGAGGUGAAAUUCGUAGAUAUUCGGCGGAACACCAGUGGCGAAGGCGACUCACUGGCCCGAUACUGACGCUGAGGCGCGAAAGCGUGGGGAGCAAACAGG